rnacentral:rRNA from 1 species
UACGUAGGGUGCAAGCGUUAAUCGGAAUACUGGGCGUAAAGCGUGCGCAGGCGGUUUUGUAAGUCUGUCGUGAAAUCCCCGGGCUCAACCUGGGAAUUGCGAUGGAGACUGCAAGGCUAGAAUCUGGCAGAGGGGGGUAGAAUUCCACGUGUAGCAGUGAAAUGCGUAGAGAUGUGGAGGAACACGUGAUGGCGAAGGCAGCCCC